rnacentral:tRNA from 2 species
GCCCCCAUCGUCCAGCGGCCUAGGACGCCGGCCUUUCAAGCCGGUAACACGGGUUCGAAUCCCGUUGGGGGUG